rnacentral:rRNA from 1 species
UGAGGAAUAUUGGUCAAUGGGCGCAAGCCUGAACCAGCCAUCCCGCGUGAAGGAAGAAGGCGCUAUGCGUUGUAAACUUCUUUUCCAGGGGGAGAAUUUUUCCGUCGUGACGGGAAUUGACGGUACUCUGGGAAUAAGCAUCGGCUAACUCCGUGCCAGCAGCCGCGGUAAUACGGAGGAUGCGAGCGUUAUCCGGCUUUAUUGGGUUUAAAGGGUGCGUAGGCGGAUAGAUAGGUCAGUGGUGAAAUUCUGCAGCUUAACUGUAGACUUGCCGUUGAUACUGUCAGUCUUGAGUAUGGUCAAGGCAGGCGGAAUGUGUAAUGUAGCGGUGAAAUGCUUAGAUAUUACACAGAACACCGAUUGCGAAGGCAGCUUGCUGGGCCAUUACUGACGCUGAUGCACGAAAGCGUGGGGAUCG